CCCCCCACCCCCAGCGACAACAGCCACGGUGACAAAAUGGCAGCCCGGCGCCCGGCAGUCGUGCCACAGGCGAGCAGGGCCCCGGCGGCCGCCCCUGCCCCCCAAUAACGCCUCGGCGCCCUUCGGGCUCGGCCUCCGGCGGGCCUGGCCUUCAUGAAAAUAAUAACAAAACACCUCGAGCUCCGAAGCAGCUGAGGAAGCCAGGAGGCCCGCCCGCGGUCGGCCGGGCGCGCCCGUGCCCGGCCCGCGCGCGCGAGGCCCGGCCACCCAGGCGCCAGCCCGCCCGCCCGCCGGCCCGCGCCCCGCGCCGCAUGGAGCCCGGCGCCCGCACUCGCAGCCCCGCGCUCGGCGCCGGCCGCGCCAUGGGGGAGGGGCGGGGCGGGCCGCGCGAGACCCGGGAAACAUGGCUGCUCGUCCUAUUUCGGCGUCGCGGCGUGGCCACCAGCCCCCGGAUCCGAGUUGGGAGAGGCUCCGAAGAGGCUCCCGCGCCGGCGGAAUUCAAUCAAUAAACCCCGAACCCACGGCCGCGCGUUUUAGGACUUUGAAGGCUCAACCAGCUCCGCUCGGUUCUCGAGCCCCCAGCACCCGCGGCGCACACUAACCUGAUCACGGAGGAGGCGGGACCUGCGGUCCGGCGGAUGAGCGGCAACAGCUGAAGCCAAUCGCUGCCGAGGGUCUCCGGGCAACAGCCAAUGGUGGCGGCGGCGGGGGGGGAAGGGACCAAUGGGCGGGCUGCGCAGCCGGCCAGGGAGGCUCAGCCAUUUGGUUGUGGUGCCGGAGACGGACCCCUUUAGAUUUCGGGGCGGCUGAGGAGCGCGGCGGCUGCUUGGUGGCUGAGCUAGGGGGGUGGGCAGAAUGGCGGGGGAAGGGAAGGUGAUUGCGCCUGGAGGGCCGAGCCGCUCGGCCUCGCCAGCCCGCCGCAGCCUCAGCGUUUGGCCGGGGGCGGGGCCGCAGGUGCGUUACUCGAGGGGGAGGGGCGCGGCCGGAGGGGUCGGGGUCGGGGGACCUCGCCCGACCGAGGGUUUCGUGGAGCCGCCCUGGGCCUGCCCGCGUCGCUGGACCGGGUUGGCUAAAGAGGUGGACGGCGCGAGGUCCGGGGCUGCCCGGCGGGCGACCGGGUGGAUGAAAGGCCUGGAAAGAGGGGGAGGGGUCAAGGGUGCAGUGGGGGGAGGGCCUGGUCAUUUUCGGGUCCGGCGGGCAGAGCUGGUAGAGCGUGGCUGCUGCCCUCCACUUCUGUGGGUACCCACCCCGGGGCUGCGGCUCACUGCCCGCGCGCCCCUUCGCCUUGUCCUCGUCCAGCCGCGGCCAUCGCCGCCCCCCUAAUAAACAAAUAAAUGAAAGCAAGAUGCGUCCACCUUUGGAUGACUUUCCUCGCGGUUCUUGACCCUCUCCACGGAGGGGCAUUUCAGUUUGCAGUCAUAUCAGGUCAGCCUGGAAGGAGCGAUCACCAGGAGGCAUCCAGGAUCUUGUUCAGUCAUUAAAUGAAUGAAGACCAUGGAUUAAGGAUUGUUGCUGAAUAUAUUGAAUAUUAAAAAGUGAAAACGGAAGGUGCUAAUAA